AUUCACUCUCCGAUCGCUUAGUAAAUCCUGCAAGACCAUCUGUCUGCCUUAAUGUCGACAUCUUGUCCCUUCUACCAGUCAAGAUUUUGUGAGGAUAAGACUGAUGACCAACAUCCCAGAGAAUCCUAUCUUGCGGUGCAUUGAAGACAUAAUGAAGAGCAACAGUCAGCUCAACAACACCAAGACUUGAGCCAAGGUGACCCCCAGUCUUUGAUACAUUGAAAAUUGUAUCUGACCUUAGUUCAUCUGCUAGUUGUUUAAGUUCCUUCAGAGACAGAUUUUUCAUAUGAAUGGGAUAGUUCACAGUGUCCAAAAUAGGCGUUGGCGGUCUCUGUGUGUAGUAUUCUCCAGAUUCUGAUAAGGAAGCCUGAACCACACGUGACCUUUUCUUGACCUCAUGAGUAAGCUUGUGUUGGAACAAAAACUGCAGAUCUGUUCCAUGAAUCCAUCCAGAGAACAAAGGGGUUGCCUUAGAAGAAUCUGAAACCACACCAGUCCUGUUCAAAAUCCCAGGAAAUGCAUAAGCACACAAAGCCAUGAUUAGUCAAUUCAACUGUUUUUUUUCCUUUGUUUCAAUGAAAACCCACAAAUUUUAUAAGUGGUUUCUUGAUUCUUGAAAAAAGGGGUUUACUUCAAGAAAAUUCUAGUGGGGUGUGUUGGUGCUACUGUCACUAAAAUGUUGUUUAUGAAGAUGUA
rnacentral:misc_RNA from 1 species